rnacentral:rRNA from 1 species
UUGACCUCAGAUCGGGUGGGACUACCC